GGUUAAGCGACUAAGCGUACACGGUGGAUGCCCUGGCAGUCAGAGGCGAUGAAGGACGUGCUAAUCUGCGAUAAGCGUCGGUAAGGUGAUAUGAACCGUUAUAACCGGCGAUUUCCGAAUGGGGAAACCCAGUGUGUUUCGACACACUAUCAUUAACUGAAUCCAUAGGUUAAUGAGGCGAACCGGGGGAACUGAAACAUCUAAGUACCCCGAGGAAAAGAAAUCAACCGAGAUUCCCCCAGUAGCGGCGAGCGAACGGGGAGCAGCCCAGAGCCUGAAUCAGUGUGUGUGUUAGUGGAAGCGUCUGGAAAGGCGCGCGAUACAGGGUGACAGCCCCGUACACAAAAAUGCACAUGCUGUGAGCUCGAUGAGUAGGGCGGGACACGUGGUAUCCUGUCUGAAUAUGGGGGGACCAUCCUCCAAGGCUAAAUACUCCUGACUGACCGAUAGUGAACCAGUACCGUGAGGGAAAGGCGAAAAGAACCCCGGCGAGGGGAGUGAAAAAGAACCUGAAACCGUGUACGUACAAGCAGUGGGAGCACGCUUAGGCGUGUGACUGCGUACCUUUUGUAUAAUGGGUCAGCGACUUAUAUUCUGUAGCAAGGUUAACCGAAUAGGGGAGCCGAAGGGAAACCGAGUCUUAACUGGGCGUUAAGUUGCAGGGUAUAGACCCGAAACCCGGUGAUCUAGCCAUGGGCAGGUUGAAGGUUGGGUAACACUAACUGGAGGACCGAACCGACUAAUGUUGAAAAAUUAGCGGAUGACUUGUGGCUGGGGGUGAAAGGCCAAUCAAACCGGGAGAUAGCUGGUUCUCCCCGAAAGCUAUUUAGGUAGCGCCUCGUGAAUUCAUCUCCGGGGGUAGAGCACUGUUUCGGCAAGGGGGUCAUCCCGACUUACCAACCCGAUGCAAACUGCGAAUACCGGAGAAUGUUAUCACGGGAGACACACGGCGGGUGCUAACGUCCGUCGUGAAGAGGGAAACAACCCAGACCGCCAGCUAAGGUCCCAAAGUCAUGGUUAAGUGGGAAACGAUGUGGGAAGGCCCAGACAGCCAGGAUGUUGGCUUAGAAGCAGCCAUCAUUUAAAGAAAGCGUAAUAGCUCACUGGUCGAGUCGGCCUGCGCGGAAGAUGUAACGGGGCUAAACCAUGCACCGAAGCUGCGGCAGCGACGCUUAUGCGUUGUUGGGUAGGGGAGCGUUCUGUAAGCCUGUGAAGGUGUGCUGUGAGGCAUGCUGGAGGUAUCAGAAGUGCGAAUGCUGACAUAAGUAACGAUAAAGCGGGUGAAAAGCCCGCUCGCCGGAAGACCAAGGGUUCCUGUCCAACGUUAAUCGGGGCAGGGUGAGUCGACCCCUAAGGCGAGGCCGAAAGGCGUAGUCGAUGGGAAACAGGUUAAUAUUCCUGUACUUGGUGUUACUGCGAAGGGGGGACGGAGAAGGCUAUGUUGGCCGGGCGACGGUUGUCCCGGUUUAAGCGUGUAGGCUGGUUUUCCAGGCAAAUCCGGAAAAUCAAGGCUGAGGCGUGAUGACGAGGCACUACGGUGCUGAAGCAACAAAUGCCCUGCUUCCAGGAAAAGCCUCUAAGCAUCAGGUAACAUCAAAUCGUACCCCAAACCGACACAGGUGGUCAGGUAGAGAAUACCAAGGCGCUUGAGAGAACUCGGGUGAAGGAACUAGGCAAAAUGGUGCCGUAACUUCGGGAGAAGGCACGCUGAUAUGUAGGUGANNNNNNNNNNNNNUGGAGCUGAAAUCAGUCGAAGAUACCAGCUGGCUGCAACUGUUUAUUAAAAACACAGCACUGUGCAAACACGAAAGUGGACGUAUACGGUGUGACGCCUGCCCGGUGCCGGAAGGUUAAUUGAUGGGGUUAGCGCAAGCGAAGCUCUUGAUCGAAGCCCCGGUAAACGGCGGCCGUAACUAUAACGGUCCUAAGGUAGCGAAAUUCCUUGUCGGGUAAGUUCCGACCUGCACGAAUGGCGUAAUGAUGGCCAGGCUGUCUCCACCCGAGACUCAGUGAAAUUGAACUCGCUGUGAAGAUGCAGUGUACCCGCGGCAAGACGGAAAGACCCCGUGAACCUUUACUAUAGCUUGACACUGAACAUUGAGCCUUGAUGUGUAGGAUAGGUGGGAGGCUUUGAAGUGUGGACGCCAGUCUGCAUGGAGCCGACCUUGAAAUACCACCCUUUAAUGUUUGAUGUUCUAACGUUGACCCGUAAUCCGGGUUGCGGACAGUGUCUGGUGGGUAGUUUGACUGGGGCGGUCUCCUCCUAAAGAGUAACGGAGGAGCACGAAGGUUGGCUAAUCCUGGUCGGACAUCAGGAGGUUAGUGCAAUGGCAUAAGCCAGCUUGACUGCGAGCGUGACGGCGCGAGCAGGUGCGAAAGCAGGUCAUAGUGAUCCGGUGGUUCUGAAUGGAAGGGCCAUCGCUCAACGGAUAAAAGGUACUCCGGGGAUAACAGGCUGAUACCGCCCAAGAGUUCAUAUCGACGGCGGUGUUUGGCACCUCGAUGUCGGCUCAUCACAUCCUGGGGCUGAAGUAGGUCCCAAGGGUAUGGCUGUUCGCCAUUUAAAGUGGUACGCGAGCUGGGUUUAGAACGUCGUGAGACAGUUCGGUCCCUAUCUGCCGUGGGCGCUGGAGAACUGAGGGGGGCUGCUCCUAGUACGAGAGGACCGGAGUGGACGCAUCACUGGUGUUCGGGUUGUCAUGCCAAUGGCACUGCCCGGUAGCUAAAUGCGGAAGAGAUAAGUGCUGAAAGCAUCUAAGCACGAAACUUGCCCCGAGAUGAGUUCUCCCUGACCCUUUAAGGGUCCUGAAGGAACGUUGAAGACGACGACGUUGAUAGGCCGGGUGUGUAAGCGCAGCGAUGCGUUGAGCUAACCGGUACUAAUGAACCGUGAGGCUUAACCUU
rnacentral:rRNA from 1 species